AUUUCCAACCUAAUUCCGCAGUAGGAACUCCAACCUAUAUUGUACCAGAAGUCUUAACAAGAAAAAGUACGAUGGAAAGUGAAUACCAAGAUGAGAGUAUGUGUUGUUAACUGCUGUUGCUAAAAAAUUUAUUUCAUCCUAUUGUAGCAUCAACUUUGUAUUAGUGGGACCACCAACAUACACGUGAUUUGUUUGUCUUUCUCAUUCUGAUGGAAGCAAGCUCAAGAAUGUAAAUGUACAAUUUUGUUCCGCAAAUGAACAUAUAUUGUAUGCAGCUUAUUAUGUUAAUAUUUAGUCACCUUCAUGGUAUUGUUUUCUUUUCUUU